rnacentral:misc_RNA from 1 species
UACAGAGACUGCAAGCGUUGUUCGGAAUUACUGGGCGUAAAGCGCGUGUAGGCUGUCGCGCAAGUCGGGUGUGAAAGCCCAGGGCUCAACCCUGGAAGUGCACUCGAAACUGCGUGACUUGAAUCUCGGAGAGGGUAGCGGAAUUCUGGGUGUAGAGGUGAAAUUCGUAGAUAUCCAGAGGAACACCGGUGGCGAAGGCGGCUACCUGGACGAGUACUGACGCUGAGACGCGAAAGUGUGGGGAGCAAACAGG